UGCCAGCCGCCGCGGUAAUACGAAGGGUGCUAGCGUUGUUCGGAAUUACUGGGCGUAAAGAGCAUGUAGGCGGAUGAAUUAAGUCUGGCGUGAAAGCCCGGGGCUCAACCCCGGAAGUGCGUUGGAUACUGGCAGUCUUGAGUAUGGGAGAGGAAAGUGGAAUUCCGAGUGUAGGAGUGAAAUCCGUAGAUAUUCGGAGGAACACCAGUGGCGAAGGCGGCUUUCUGGACCAAUACUGACGCUGAGAUGCGAAAGCGUGGGGAGCGAACAGGAUUAGAUA
rnacentral:rRNA from 1 species